CACAUUUUGUGUUUUCUUCUUCCUUCUCUGACUGCUCCUCUCAUUACUUUUCACAGAGUCAUCCUUGUCUACUCCACUACCAAAUGUUGAAGUUCUUCAAGAAUCAGUCCUUUGGAGGUGACGUCAUUGAAAAUGAUGAGUAGGAAACUCCAAGAGCACAUUUCUCCACAAAACCGCAUUUAAGGAAAUCUGUUUCUCUUUUGGAUCACU
rnacentral:lncRNA from 1 species